CAAACUUACGUUUAACAUCUGCCUCUGUAGAUUUUCGUGACAUGUCACGCAGUCUAAGGUCAGUCAAAAACACGCUAAUUUUCGAACAUUUUCCUCUUUUUCGUGUAUUUCAUUUGAAUUGCUAUCUUUCUUACCUUCAGUUUCUAAAACUAACGUACAUAAGCUUUCUAUACCACUGCAUUUGAAGACAAUCAUUAAAAUAUUUCGUUCGGGUUUUUGAGACUUAUGGUUAGCGAUUCAGACAUGUCGAAGAGGGGUUCACGCCACAUGCAAGCAGUGGCCAUGGAGUCUGGGGCUAUAACUCUAAAGCGCAUGCCUAUAACUGGUCAUUACCGCGAAAUACGAAAAAAACAAUAAAUUUGGCGCAAUUUGAUGUAUAAUACAUGAGGUUUGAAUAUUGUUUGGGUUCGGGAAAUGAGACUCGAAGUUACGCGCUGGUGAUUUUUUCUUCGCUGGCUCUUCUCGCGGUGGCGGUAGAUGCACAAAACGAUUUCGGCGAAGAAACAAAUGGUCCAAAAGGGGAAAAACUGCCUUGGUUUACUUACGAAAAAACAACUAUCUCAUAUAUUCCCUGUCGAAGAAGUCUGAUCAAGAGCCGAACGACGAAAGUGCUGAUUCUGUGAUUGUGGGAAUCGUGGAAAAAUUUUUGAGGAAUCUGAGAUUCGCGGAGUUGUUAUAAAUUCCAGAAUUCUCAACGUCUUCAG